CCUACGGGUGGCAGCAGUGAGGAAUAUUGGUCAAUGGCCGGAAGGCUGAACCAGCCAAGCCGCGUGAAGGACGAAGGUGCCAAGCAUUGUAAACUUCUUUUGUCAAGGGACAAAAUCAGGCUCGAGAGCCUGACCGAGGGUACUUGAAGAAAAAGCAUCGGCUAACUCCGUGCCAGCAGCCGCGGUAAUACGGAGGAUGCGAGCGUUAUCCGGAUUUAUGGGGUUUAAAGGGUGCGUAGGGGGGCUGUUAAGUCAGCGGUAAAAGCCCGGGGCUAAACCCCGGCGAGACGUUGAAACUGGCUGUCUUGAGAUGUCGAGAGGUAUGCGGAAUGCGCAGUGUAGCGGUGAAAUGCUUAGAUAUUGCGCAGAACUCCGAUUGCGAAGGCAGCAUACCGGCGGCGAUCUGACGCUGAGGCACGAAAGCGUGGGUAUCGAACAGGAUUAGAUACCCUAGUAGUC
rnacentral:rRNA from 1 species